CUCCGGCUCCAGCUCCGCCGCCCUGCUGUUCUCGCAGGAGCGGAGCCGCGCACCCCGCCCGCCGCCUGGCGUCGGCCCCGCCCCUCGUGGCUCCGCCCCGCAGCCCCGCCCUCCCUUGGCUCCGCCCCUCGCACCUGCCGCUGGGUCUACACACAGCUGCCGGCUCUGCCAGAACCCGCCCAGCUCGGACCGGUGGUACCUCCGCGCCUUUCCCCCUGCGUCCGAGCGUUGUCCCCGCUCCGUCUCCCUCACCGCCACUCAGUCCCCAGGACCCGAAAACCUCCCAAAUCUCGUCCCCCGCCUCCGCCCCAACCUGACCCUCACUCUCUAUCUAAGCUGGGGGCGCAUUCCCGUCGGCCCUCUCCACAGUUUCCUCCUUUUCAAUCCGUCUUUCUCAUUCUUUUUCCUUUUUUUUUCUGAUCACUAUUUCUCUUCGUCCCCUUUUCUCUGACCUGUCAAACCCACGUGUCCAGACAAACCCGCAGUUACUCCGAGCACAAGCUGCAGACUUAGCCCUCGGUUCUGUUGGAAGGUGUCACCGCCCCAGGAAAGACACUUCGCGGCUUCAUGAGAGCCAGAGGUCACUGUGGGUCUGGACCCCUCACAGGCCACCUGACUUCCCUGGAAUACUUUGAGGCCCAUUCAAUUCAACAAGUGUGUUGGGCGGCUGGUGUUUACCAACACCGUGUCAGGGACGGGAGCACACGCAGCCCGAGGCACAGAGCCUGCCCUGAAGAGCGAACAGCUGGGAAGAAAUGAGGGCAGAAUUACUCAAGGACAACCUAAGCAUCCGAUAGAGGCAAAUUAUUAACAACAACAACAACAAAUAUCUACCUCCUGAGUGUGCUGUCCUUGUUUGAAACAAAAUUCUUGGCAGAUCCAAUGGCUUUUCUAAUCACUCCAAGAAAAUGAAUGAAUAGUUCUUUUAUUGGGCCUUAAAAAAUAUAUAAUCCAUUCUACAAAUUGCUCAACCCCAGUUCAGGUCAGAGUGACAUUAAAAACUCUGAAUCACAGUUGUUAGGAAUAUGCAAAUAGAAACCAUAAGAUAAUGCUACAUUACUGAAUGGAAUGAUUUAAAAGGACACUGACAAUAUCAAAUGCUGACAAGGAUGAGGAGCAACUGGAACUCUCUCAUACGUUGUUGGUGGGAAUGCAAAAUGGAAAUACUUCUUUGGAAAAUAGUCUGGUGGUUUCUUAAAAAGUUAAAUAUAUAUUUAUUAUGCAA